UGCACGUGAUGGCGAGUGGCGAACGGGUGAGUAAUGCAUCGGAACGUGCCCAAUCGUGGGGGAUAACGCAGCGAAAGCUGUGCUAAUACCGCAUACGAUCUAUGGAUGAAAGCGGGGGACCUUCGGGCCUCGCGCGAUUGGAGCGGCCGAUGUUAGAUUAGGUAGUUGGUGGGGUAAAGGCUCACCAAGCCGACGAUCUAUAGCUGGUCUGAGAGGACGACCAGCCACACUGGAACUGAGACACGGUCCAGACUCCUACGGGAGGCAGCAGUGGGGAAUUUUGGACAAUGGGCGCAAGCCUGAUCCAGCAAUACCGCGUGCAGGAAGAAGGCCUUCGGGUUGUAAACUGCCUUUGUACGGAACGAAAAGGCUCUUUCUAAUAAAGAGGGCUCAUGACGGUACCGUAAGAAUAAGCACCGGCUAACUACGUGCCAGCAGCCGCGGUAAUACGUAGGGUGCGAGCGUUAAUCGGAAUUACUGGGCGUAAAGCGUGCGCAGGCGGUUUUGUAAGACAGACGUGAAAUCCCCGGGCUCAACCUGGGAAUUGCGUUUGUGACUGCAAGGCUAGAGUACGGUAGAGGGGGGUAGAAUUCCGCGCGUAGCAGUGAAAUGCGUAGAUAUGCGGAGGAACACCGAUGGCGAAGGCAGCCCCCUGGACCUGUACUGACGCUCAUGCACGAAAGCGUGGGGAGCAAACAGGAUUAGAUACCCUGGUAG
rnacentral:rRNA from 1 species